UACGUAGGGCGCAAGCGUUAUCCGGAAUUAUUGGGCGUAAAGAGCUCGUAGGCGGUUUGUCGCGUCGGCUGUGAAAUCCCGAGGCUCAACCUCGGGUCUGCAGUCGAUACGGGCAAACUAGAGUGUUGCAGGGGAGACUGGAAUUCCUGGUGUAGCGGUGAAAAUGCGCAGAUAUCAGGAGAACACCGGUGGCGAAGGCGGGUCUCUGGGCAACAACUGACGCUGAGGAGCGAAAGCGUGGGGAGCGAACAGG
rnacentral:rRNA from 1 species